rnacentral:misc_RNA from 1 species
AAAUAAAUAAAACCCUAAAGAUCUGUCAUAUGUGAGAUGAAAACCCAAAGAUAUAUUAACUGAAAAUUGAAAACCUGAUUACUCACUAGUGAGAGGCGUCAACGAGCUGCUUCAAUGAUGCAGGAAGGAUAAGCAACGGCGAUGUCAAUGAGUUAGCGACGUUUUCCUUUCACCUAUGCUACGGCGAGAUUGAGGGGUGGGGAUUCUAUGCAGAGGUGAGAUGGGGAACUGACUCAGUCAGGAUGGCAAAAGAGCGACGAGGUGAGGCAAUGGACUGUCGACUGUGGCUGUGCGGAUAGGGCGAAAAAGAAUAUUCUGCUGAAAUUGAAA